UUAUGGCCAUAUCACAUUGAAAAACUGGUUCUCAUAUGAUCACCAAAGAUGAGCAACAUCAAGUCUGGUCAGUACUUAGAAGGGUGACCACUUGGGAAUACCAGAUGGCUGUAAG